GAGAGCGGCCAGGCUGAUGGCCCUGCCGAGGGCACCCCGAGCGCGUUCGGCUGGGUUUGGAAUGUCUGGGUUUGGAAUGUCUGUGACAGCGCGCUGCCACCUUCAGUGUACAAAAGCUCUUCCUCGUAUCGAGGUGGAACUUGUGGUGGUUUAGUUCAUGGCCUUUGCUCCUUACCCCGUCUCUGGGCACCACCAACAGGAGUCUGGCACCAUCCCCUUGGCACCUGUCUUUGAGAUGUUUUUAUGCAUUAAUGAGAUCCCUUCUCUGUCUUUUCUACAGACUGAACAGCCCAGCUCCUGCAGUCUCUGCCCUUAAGAGAAAUGCUCCAGACCCCUCAUCAUCUUUGUGGCCUUCCACCGAACCCUCUCUGGUAGUCCCGUGUCUCUUCUGUCCCGAGGAGCCCAGAACUGGACUCAGAAUUCCAGAUAAGCUGAAUAUAUUUCUGAAUAUAUAUUUUUGCACAGUUGAAAUAAACUGAUGCUUGGCAAUCAUCCUGCAGCUGUUCACCUAAUCUUGAGAGAAUUUAAAGCCACAAACAUUUCCAAGUUCAAUCUGAACAUUUCACCUUACAUUGGAGGAGGAGAUGUCAAACACUGCUUGCAGGGAUCAGAGCAAACCACAGCCAGUGAGUGCACUGUUUGUAACUGAAGUUUGUCAUCUAGAAAUUCUCCUACCAGCUACAAAAAGAUCAAAAGAGUGGUUAUGUUUUGAAGAACUUCAAAUCUUCAGUUUUCAAGAAAUUCUGAGUCUCAUGUAAGACCUGUAGGGUUUAACUAGAAGAAUAAAGCAGAAACAGUAUUUAAAUUCAACAACCACAAUAAACCACAUAUAAACCACAAAUAACCACAGACCUUACAAAGUAAAAACAUGAGUGUGUGAUUAAGUAUUUCAUGAUCAGUCUCAAAAAGACAAAAGUUGGAAGCUGUGUUGUCCAAAAGAGAUGGAGAUAUAUUAACAGAAAAGGUGGGGUGCUGCUGUUUUAUCUACAACAAAUCAAUGCUUUCUUCAGUGACUGGGAAAUGUGUUCUUGAAAAAAACACAAGAAGAAGUUUUAAUUUUUUAAGUUUUAAAAAAACUGGAAGGACACCAAAGCUGGAGCAUAAGCUGUUCUAAAACCCAGAAUUAUUCACUGUUACAAUUAUUAUUCAAUUUUUUAAUGCAAACAUUGAUACUUGUCACUGAAAAUUGACUAGGUAAUAAAGAGGGAUUUUUGCAGUACCAUCCAAUUUCCUACUUACAAACAAAUUUAGAGCAGACAUUUUCAAAUGGUUAACAUAGAAAUCUGCAUUUCAAAUGCCUCUCUUACAUCUGAAACAUGUCAGAAGGCUCUCUCUACCAAACUUUAUUCUUUAGAUUUCAAAUGUCGUCCCAUAACAAUAAAGCUUUAAAGAUUAAGUGUAUAUCAACACAGCUUAAAUGUAUAAAUACAUCAAUUUUUUCACCAUUAUCAUCAGAAUCUGUUGAACCCAAUCUUUAUGCCUGUUUCUGAAAAAGCACAGCAAUUAAUAAUUACCAUAAAAAUUCAGAAAAAUAUUCCAGUUAUUUAGAACAGUGACACUUCUGUUUUUUCCCCACUUAAAUAUCAACAAUGCCUGUAUUCACUACAGUGGUGAAGUUGAUGAAAGGAGAACAUUAUAAAGAGGAACCCUUAAAAUGUUGCUCCAUUCCAUUCACAAAUGUCGAGACAAAUUAAAGUUCAGCAUACAGUUCUCUGUGGCACAGAGAUCCUCAUGGAAGGGAAAAUCAACAGCUUCUCUUACAGAAAUUGCCACAAUUAUCAUGGCAUUAUCAAAUCUGCUCUGCUUGGAUGCCUGAAGAUACAAAGGGCAGUGCAAAAGGUUUUCAGUGAUGAAACGGACCUAUAAAAAUCGGAAAAAUUCUCUUUUCUGGUCAGAUUAAAGAACAUGGACAGCUAUUCACACAGAAUCAGCUUGCAGAGGGCUUUGACAGGCUGGAGGCUCUGAAGGCAGAUUCCAGAGCUGCCACAGGGAAUUCCCCUGCUACUGCCCAACAGGUUCUGCCAUCUGUAGCUCAGAGCGUGAGGAUUGCUCAGGGCUGGAGAGGACAGACUCUCCCUGAGCAUGCAGAGCAGGUUAUUCACACUUAGUCCCAUUUCCCAUCUACAUUUGAACUAAAAAGGAGGAUUCUGUGGGAUACAGCGAUGCCACCUGGCACUGUGGAAGCCACAGCACCUGCUCCACCACGGAGAGGAGAGGCUGCUGCAGAGAGCACCCGGCCUGGGCAGGGCAUAGUUUACUCCUGGAGGGCAGCUCUGGAAUUUUAAGGUGAAGUGAAAUGUGUAAGGAUUCCAGCCUGGCAUUUCUGAAGAGCCUGGAACAACAAGCUCUCAGGACAGAAGCUUCUGGAUGCAGGAUGAGGAUGAGGAGACACCAGCCCUCGAAGUGGCCCACGGCAAGUGGGAGUGGAGCAACCUCAGCACAAACACAACUCGUGGCACCUCAAGCCCCCAUUUCUCAGGCUUCAUAAAGAUAAAAGGAUUUUGUUUCAUGUGUAUUUUCCAGCUUUUCCCUCUAGUGGAGGUUUCCUGGGACUUCAAGCACGAUAACACGCUGUAAGCAGAGCCUGACUCCACCAGGUCUACAGAGUCCUGGCACAGGGGCCUUGGCACUGCUGUCUGGAUUAAGACUCCUCUCAGAUCAGUGAGGGCUCAGUGUUCUCUGCACACCAGAAACCUGCUCAGCCACAGUGAGCAGAGUGCAAUCAGACAAUUGGAAUAAUUCAGGUGGCAGAAGUCACUCUGGAAGCUGCCAUUUCCAAUGGUAACGCUGCUAUUUUGCACCAUAAAAGCAAACGCUGACCUUGUCACUGCUGAAAGGGGCUUUAGGUGAGCUCAGAAAGAAUUAAGGGAGCAUCUCUCAUCAAUCCAUAGCUGUGGAGAGCCUGAAGGAGCAGUGAUGCCCACCUGAAGCAUGGUGAGGUGGUAACUUCUCUGUGGGACAAGUUCCGUGCUCCUCUUCCCGCACUGACUGACUUUGACCAUUGGUUUAAAUUUUCUUAAUUUUCUUUGUGCUCCAGGGCAGAGAAUCAGGCUUAUUGUUUAUGCAAGUUAAAAGCAGGAAUCUAUAAUUUAUAUUUUAUAUGACUGUACAAUGUGCUGGGCCCACCUAACUCAAUUAUGCCAUAUUUUGCCAGGCCCGUGGUUGAGGAUAGGAAAAUGUCCUGCAGAAUUUUAUUACCCCACUAAACUCAAAGGGAACUUACACAGUUCACGUCAAAAAGAAAGUGACAGUCCCUGGCCAAGCAUUUCUUGUUACCUGGAUUCUGGGGUUUAUUUAAGGCAGCUGGAAUUGCAACACUUGGCUUCUCCCAGAACACGUGAGCACUCUCUUCAACUCCCUUCAGUGCAAAGUCCAUUGAUUGUGGUCAAACCACCUCCAAACAAAGUUGCUGGAUGCUGCACUGAAACCAACAAGUGUUCCUUUACUGCAGUUUGUUAGGAAAGCUGUAAAGGACAGGAAUUUCUGCAUUCUGACCAACAGCAAGAAUCUGGGAGGUUUCAGAAGCCACCCAAGCUGCUUUACUUGAAGAAGAGCUCUAAAUCCUCAUGCUCCCAGAGCUUUGAAUAAGUUGCCCAUUUGACCUAACCACAUAAUAAAACAUUGAUGCUCCAGCUUUUAUUCAAUUAUCAUAUCACUUACCUUCUGUUGCCACAGCAAAAAUAUCGGAUACAUAAAUAAUGCACAGACAAAUCACACCAGCAGCCACCACGGUUAGAAAGGAAAGGGUGAUGCAAACCAACAUAAUUUUAAUUAAAAGGUCUUGCUAUCACAUGUUCUGGAAGUCUGAGAAGGCUAAAACAUGUAUUCCCAAUUAUAAAGUUUAUGAUUUCAAAUGUCAUGUGUAGAAUAAAGGACUUCAUUUAUUCAUAAAUUGAACUAAAAACUAAAAUGAAGGACCUUAGCUGCUCCUUCAGUCCUGCUCAUGGGCUCUGCUGUUACUGCUGCUUCCUUCUACCCUUUGAGCAUAAAAAACCCAAAAAUCCCCCAAAAAAGACCAACCAAAAUGAAGC